AAAAUAAUAUUAAACUAUAGUGACGUGAAAAGUGCGAUUGGAUAAAUAUUUCCAAACACGCUAGGAGUGUCACUAUAUCAUAACAAUUAAAAACAAAAUCAGAGCGUCACUAUAUAUAUCAGCACAAUUAAUAUAUAUGAAAAAUAAAUGAAUUUUAAGAAUAAAAAAAUAAUAAAAGAUAUAAAAGGACUUUUUUUUAAAAGGUAUAUAAGGGUUAUUUAGAAACCCUAAUUUCUCUAUCUUAUUUUUCUCUUCCGCCUCUUCUUCUUCUCUCUUUAAUAUAUUGCAUUCAUCUCAUAGCUAGGCCGGACGGGCGUCUCCGGCGUUGUAAUGCCGAAACAGCCACCACCAGUAGACGUAGCACCCGCCGAAACACUGUUCCUUUCUUGGUUGUUCGUGUUCUGCCCUCUGCGAAGCGAGACAGAACCUCUCGUCUCCCUCUACUCCAUCGACGACUUCUCAACCUCCAAAUGCCAAUGGUCUUUGUGGAUCUAGUUGUUCGAACUUCGUCUGUGGUCUAUGGUGGUGGGGUUUGUUGUUUUCAUCGUUUGAAGGCUCUGGUUCCUGGUUUACGGUGGCAGGUUUCAUGGGUCUCGAUGUUUGAAUGUCGACGAGUCUGGGCUCGUGGUCUAUGGUGGCCGCGUUUGUAAUUUUUUUUGGUUCAGAUUUUUAAUUUUUUUUCUAGAUGUGUUAGAUUUGUAUUUAACUGAUCUGGAAUUUUUGUGGAUGUAUAAGUUGAACUUUGUUAUAAAAGGUUGUAUUUUAGAUUUUUUCAGUAUUGAACUUUGUUAAAUCUUUAACUGGGUUUUAAUUUUUUUUUUCA